AAGAAGGCCUUCGGGUUGUAAAGCACUUUCAGUAGGGAGGAAGGUAGUGUAGUUAACACCUGCACUAUUUGACGUUACCUACAGAAGAAGCACCGGCUAACUCCGUGCCAGCAGCCGCGGUAAUACGGGAGGGGUGCGAGCGUUAAUCGGAAUUACUGGGCGUAAAGCGCAUGCAGGCGGCCUGUUAAGUCAGAUGUGAAAGCCCGGGGCUUAACCUCGGAAUUGCAUUUUGAAACUGGCAGGCUAGAGUCUUGUAGAGGGGGGUAGGAAUUUCAGGUGUAGCGGUGAAAUGCGUAGAGAUCUGAAGGAAUACCAGUGGCGAAGGCGGCCCCCUGGACAAAGACUGACGCUCAGAUGCGAAAGCGUGGGGAGCAAACAGGAUUAGAUACCCUGGUAG
rnacentral:rRNA from 1 species